rnacentral:rRNA from 1 species
UACGAGGGGGGCAAGCGUUGUUCGGAAUUAUUGGGCGUAAAGGGCGCGUAGGCGGUUUGAUAAGUCUGAUGUGAAAUCUCUGGGCUCAACCCAGAGUCUGCAUUAGAAACUGUCGGGCUUGAGUAUGGGAGAGGUGAGUGGAAUUUCCGGUGUAGCGGUGAAAUGCGUAGAUAUCGGAAGGAACACCUGUGGCGAAAGCGGCUCACUGGACCAUAACUGACGCUGAGGCGCGAAAGCUAGGGGAGCAAACAGG